rnacentral:rRNA from 1 species
GACGAACGCUGGCGGCGUGCCUAAUACAUGCAAGUUGAGCGAUGAAGCUUGGUGCUUGCACCAAUUUGAAGAGCAGCGAACGGGUGAGUAACGCGUGGGGAAUCUGCCUUUGAGCGGGGGACAACAUUUGGAAACGAAUGCUAAUACCGCAUAACGACUUUAAACAUAAGUUUUAAGUUUGAAAGAUGCAAUUGCAUCACUCAAAGAUGAUCCCGCGUUGUAUUAGCUAGUUGGUGAGGUAAAGGCUCACCAAGGCGAUGAUACAUGGCCGACCUGAGAGGGUGAUCGGCCACAUUGGGACUGAGACACGGCCCAAACUCCUACGGGAGGCAGCAGUAGGGAAUCUUCGGCAAUGGACGAAAGUCUGACCGAGCAACGCCGCGUGAGUGAAGAAGGUUUUCGGAUCGUAAAACUCUGUUGGUAGAGAAGAACGUUGGUGAGAGUGGAAAGCUCAUCAAGUGACGGUAACUACCCAGAAAGGGACGGCUAACUACGUG